rnacentral:rRNA from 1 species
AGUANUUGACAUCCUUCUGACGGGUCCGUAUGGGGCCUUCCCUUCGAGNGCAGAANAGACAGGUGGUGCAUGGUUGUCNUCAGCUCGUGUCGUGAGAUGUUGGGUUAAGUCCCGCAACGAGCGCAACCCCUAUCCNAAGUAGCCAGCAGGUAGAGCUGGGCACUCUGCGGAAACUGCCGGGGAUAACCGGGAGGAAGGGGGGGAUGACGUCAAAUCNUCAUGCCCCUUAUGAUUUGGGCUACACACGUGCUACAAUGGCGUAUACAAAGGGAANCGAAGCGGUGACCCCUANCAAAUCUCAAAAAAAACGCCCCANUUCGGAUUGUAGUCUGCAACUCGACUACAUGAAGCCGGAAUCGCUAUUANUCGCAGGUCANCAUACUGCGGUGAAUACNUUCCCGG